rnacentral:rRNA from 1 species
UACGUAGGGUGCGAGCGUUGUCCGGAAUUAUUGGGCGUAAAGAGCUUGUAGGCGGUUUGUCGCGUCUGCCGUGAAAAUCCGGGGCUCAACCCCGGACUUGCGGUGGGUACGGGCAGACUAGAGUGUGGUAGGGGAGAAUGGGAUUCCCGGUGUAGCGGUGAAAUGCGCAGAUAUCGGGAGGAACACCGGUGGCGAAGGCGGUUCUCUGGGCCUUACCUGACGCUGAGGAGCGAAAGCGUGGGGAGCGAACAGG